CGUGGUGCACUGGCUGGAACGAGAAAUAGCCCAAUGGGCCCACUGACGGGGAUCGAUCCCACACCGACCGCGCAACGAGCGAGCUACGUCCCGCCCCUGAUUGAAGGGAUCACACCGCUAUUUCAGCCAAUGAAUUUAGUUCUAUGAAAAAGAGUACCUCUUUUCUUUAUUUUAUUAUGUUGGUGUCUGAACAGACUUGACAGUAUGAUUAUGGAAUAUUGGAAGGGUAACAUUGCCUAUUGAUUUUGGCAUAUCAACCUGACAGAUGCAUAUCUGCUUAGCUACAGGCAAGACCAUUGUUUACUAUGCCUGUGGUACAUAUAUUUAACGAGAGUAGCCUCCCCUCCAUUAGCCCAUGUGCUUAGGAGACUGGAUAAUUGAAAUUGCAGGUGGCGAAGUAUCAAUUUUAUUUGUUUAAACCCUGUCACAGAGGCUGUUCUCUUCAUGUCAGGAAAUCUUCCAAGACAUCGGGAACAGCUGGGUGAGGCCGAAGUAACCGCAUAUUGCCAGUCGUCCCCUGUGAAUUGGUGACCACAUAUGAAGAUGCACCUCGACUCGUUGACGGCUUAGCCACUGCAUCAAAGUCUUCCCUGGACAGCCUAGUACACGCCAAAUCAGACCAAUACAGUGACACUCCUCAAAGAGUUAUCUCCCCUUGGCCAGUCGUCAACAUAUAACCAAGUGACUUUCGAGAAGUACAAAAUGUUAGUAUUCAUGUUGGAGCAAUAAAAUUUAUAAACC